ACUUAAAUAUUUUAUUUUAAAAUUAUGAUUUGUGGAAUCAUAGAUGUUUUUUAACUUUAGGUC
rnacentral:tRNA from 1 species